CAGUCGCCGCGGUAAUACAGAGGGUGCAAGCGUUAAUCGGAAUUACUGGGCGUAAAGCGCGCGUAGGUGGUUUGUUAAGUUGGAUGUGAAAUCCCCGGGCUCAACCUGGGAACUGCAUCCAAAACUGGCAAGCUAGAGUAUGGUAGAGGGUGGUGGAAUUUCCUGUGUAGCGGUGAAAUGCGUAGAUAUAGGAAGGAACACCAGUGGCGAAGGCGACCACCUGGACUGAUACUGACACUGAGGUGCGAAAGCGUGGGGAGCAAACAGGAUUAGAUACCCCGGUAGUCCCUGUCUCUUAUAA
rnacentral:rRNA from 1 species